rnacentral:rRNA from 1 species
CCCUUAGAUGUUCUGGGCCGCACGCGCGCUACACUGAUGCAUUCAACGAGUCUAAAACCUGCUCUGAUAGGGGUGGGUAAUCUUUUGAAUGUGCAUCGUGAUUGGGAUAGAUGAUUGCAAUUUUUCAUCUUCAACGAGGAAUGCCUAGUAAACGCAAGUCAUCAGCUUGCAUUGAUUACGUCCCAGCCCUUUGUACACACCGCCCGUCGCUCCUACCGAUUGAAUGAUCCGAUGAAUAUCAUGGAUUGAGGAUGCAAGCAGGUUCGCCUGUCUUCAUCUUCGAGAAGUGAAGUAAAUCUUAUCAUUUAGAGGAAGGAGAAGUCGUAACA